rnacentral:rRNA from 1 species
UACGUAGGGUGCGAGCGUUAUUCGGAAUUACUGGGCGUAAAGCGUGCGCAGGCGGCCGAGCAAGUCGAGUGUGAAAGCCCCGAGCUUAACUUGGGAACUGCGCUCGAAACUACUUGGCUAGAGUGUGGCAGAGGGAGGUGGAAUUCCACGUGUAGCGGUGAAAUGCGUAGAGAUGUGGAGGAACACCGAUGGCGAAGGCAGCCUCCUGGACCAACACUGACGCUCAUGCACGAAAGCGUGGGGAGCAAACAGG